CACAAACACGUUAUAUAUAUCUAUAUCUCUUUAUGCAGCUGUCCUACAGAUAGGGAAAAGUUCGCUUACCCAUCCUUUUGUCAUCGGCAACUGUGUCCCCUUUUCUUUCCAGCUGUUUUGCUUCUUGUUGGUGAAGAUGGUUUUCCCCCUUCUUCCUCUUCUCCCCCCCUUCCAAGUCGGUCCCUCUCCUUUAAACCAUCACAAUGUUCAUGUCACACACAAGCCCAGCUGCCACCUACUUCACCGCCAUCCGGCGUGAAUGCCAGGAACCUACACAAAGUUCCCGAGAGAGGGGGGAGGGGGACGAAAAAGAAUUUAGGGGAGAUGGGGGAGGGUUAGGGGAUGGGGAUGAAGGGGGGGUUGGGGAGGGGGAUACAGGACUGGAGGAUGGGGUAUGAGUGAUGGGGCAGGAAGAGGAAUGGAGCGGGUGUUGUGGGGGGGGUGGGGGGCAGGUUUGUUAACCUCUCAGAGCCAUGAAGCACAUCAGCCGGAGAGCCAUGAGCAUCGAUGGGGAAGCUUCAGUGCCGGAGCGACGGCGGACCGCGGAGGGAAAGCAAGUUCUGGAGGAGAAAGAAGGGCAGGAAGCUUUGCCCGGCUCCGAGCAGCCCUCUUCAGGCGGCUGCCCCCUGCCAUUCCCAGGCACAGCAAUCCAUCCUCUGGCAGGUCCCCGGCGAUGGGCGACGAUGCCACCAGGCCUCCAGAGCUGUAGAAGAAGUCAACCCGCCCCCCCUCCUCCUCCACCAGACCCGCCACCCGCUUUUACUCAAAGCUGAGCUGAGGCAGGGGGGCAGUGGAACUGCAGGUCAGCUUAAUCCUGGGAGACUACAUUCACAGGCCAACCACAAAGUGUCCAUACUAUUACCUAACAAAACAUCACAGAGUAAAACAACAAACAAACAAACAAACAAACAAACAAAACCUGAAUGGAAGUUAACGCAGUCUUCACACUGUACUUCACACCUAAGAUGGCUUCCUGCUGUUAUUGGUAACCUGCAGAAAAUAUCAAUACUAAUAUCCAGUGAGCCUAUUUACACUGCUGAUUUGCACUUUAUCAUCUAGGCUGAUGGCUCUAUAUUUGCUUAGCUAAGCUUCUCAUAAAGACUGCAACCACUCUCUGUGUGCAUGAACAUGUGUAUGUUUAUGUUGUUGUACUGGAAACUGUG
rnacentral:lncRNA from 1 species